GACGAACGCUGGCGGCGUGCUUAACACAUGCAAGUCGAACGGAAAGGCCCUGCUUUUGUGGGGUGCUCGAGUGGCGAGCGGGUGAGUAACACGUGAGUAACCUGCCCUUGACUUUGGGAUAACUUCAGGAAACUGGGGUUAAUACCGGAUAGGAGCUCCUGCUGCACGGUGGGGGUUGGAAAGUUUCGGCGGUUGGGGAUGGACUCGCGGCUUAUCAGCUUGUUGGUGGGGUAGUGGCUUACCAAGGCUUUGACGGGUAGCCGGCCUGAGAGGGUGACCGGCCACAUUGGGACUGAGAUACGGCCCAGACUCCUACGGGAGGCAGCAGUGGGGAAUAUUGCACAAUGGGCGGAAGCCUGAUGCAGCAACGCCGCGUGCGGGAUGACGGCCUUCGGGUUGUAAACCGCUUUCGCCUGUGACGAAGCGUGAGUGACGGUAAUGGGUAAAGAAGCACCGGCUAACUACGUGCCAGCAGCCGCGGUGAUACGUAGGGUGCGAGCGUUGUCCGGAUUUAUUGGGCGUAAAGGGCUCGUAGGUGGUUGAUCGCGUCGGAAGUGUAAUCUUGGGGCUUAACCCUGAGCGUGCUUUCGAUACGGGUUGACUUGAGGAAGGUAGGGGAGAAUGGAAUUCCUGGUGGAGCGGUGGAAUGCGCAGAUAUCAGGAGGAACACCAGUGGCGAAGGCGGUUCUCUGGGCCUUUCCUGACGCUGAGGAGCGAAAGCGUGGGGAGCGAACAGGCUUAGAUACCCUGGUAGUCCACGCUGUAAACGGUGGGUACUAGGUGUGGGGUCCAUUCCACGGGUUCCGUGCCGUAGCUAACGCUUUAAGUACCCCGCCUGGGGAGUACGGCCGCAAGGCUAAAACUCAAAGGAAUUGACGGGGCCCCGCACAAGCGGCGGAGCAUGCGGAUUAAUUCGAUGCAACGCGUAGAACCUUACCUGGGUUUGACAUGGAUCGGGAGCGCUCAGAGAUGGGUGUGCCUCUUUUGGGGUCGGUUCACAGGUGGUGCAUGGCUGUCGUCAGCUCGUGUCGUGAGAUGUUGGGUUAAGUCCCGCAACGAGCGCAACCCUUGUUCACUGUUGCCAGCACGUUAUGGUGGGGACUCAGUGGAGACCGCCGGGGUCAACUCGGAGGAAGGUGGGGAUGACGUCAAGUCAUCAUGCCCCUUAUGUCCAGGGCUUCACGCAUGCUACAAUGGCUGGUACAGAGAGUGGCGAGCCUGUGAGGGUGAGCGAAUCUCGGAAAGCCGGUCUCAGUUCGGAUUGGGGUCCGCAACUCGACCUCAUGAAGUCGGAGUCGCUAGUAAUCGCAGAUCAGCAACGCUGCGGUGAAUACGUUCCCGGG
rnacentral:rRNA from 1 species